CUCCCAAACCCCAAAAAACUUAAACAUUUUUUUGAGAUACCCUCCGAUUUACCCUAAUUGUCUCUUCUUCGUAUCUCCAUCGCACACACUACAACACCAUAUUGACCAUAUGUCAUACACCCAUGUUUGUGAAAUAAUAAAGUAGGAGGGGAAAUGAGAGUUGAUCAGAAGUGGACAGGAGGGGAAGAGAGACGUCGGAGUCGGCGUCUAUGAUAAAGAGAAACCAAGGUCUGGUUGAGGCUCGAGACACAAGUUUGAUUGUACAGCGAAAGGAAAAAUCAUCAUUCUUCAAAUCUGAAAUAUUCAGUACAUAUAAUGAAAAUCAGGUUUGCAUCUUCUUCAAAUUCGUUCGAUAAACCUCAUAUUUCUCAAUUUCAACAUUUUCUUGUAGUUAUUUUCCCAUUGCUAUAUUUGCGACGUGUGCGACUUAGAUCCUAGAUUGGCAGGGGCAGACAAACGACAACUUCUCUCUCUCUCUCGAUCUAGAAAGCUUCACCUUUACCUUCACACUUACCACCACUAAACCGCCACCACUUUUGUUUCACUUUAUCUGCAGAACUGUCACACCACCACUGCUUGGAAAUUUAGAGUUGUAAUAGAAUUAUGUUUUGAGGGACUGUUAUUUUGCCCAGUGUUCCUCAAGUAAGCAUCAAUUUUUAUUAGGCUCAAAGUUAAUCAUAUAAACAAGACACAUGGGAAAAGGAUUCAACAGAAUAAGGCGUGAUUUUACCGGAUUUUUUUUACAGUAUUAAACGAGAUACGUAAAUCUAUGGUUGUAUUUUUAAAGUAUGACAACUAAAGUUAUUCAUACCAGUUUCUUUAUUUGUCUUGCAAAAGAUGCCUAAUAGAUUUACAGUCAGGGGUAGUAUGGUCAACCAGUAAACAAAUUUUAAAAAACAUGAGCACGAGUCUGCUUACGAUGGUAUUUUGAUGGAGGGUUUUUAUUUCGUGAGUGUUAUCUCUAUUUGUAAUAUUUUAUACAUACUGAUUGUGUUUCAAUUUAUGAUGUUACAAUGAAGUGACUUUUUUUUAUGAUGGCAAUUUAAUGAAGGGUUUAGGUGACUUUUGGUAAUGUACUUCAAAAGUAUGUAUAGAUUCGGUCAUUAAUAGUAGACAGGUGAAUUGUGAUUUAGCUUUACUUGGAUGCCUUUGUCCUGCUCAAUCUUUUGGUAUCUAUUGGUUUAUUAAAAAAAUGAAGUUUAAAGUUCCAUAAACUAUGACUUAAAUUGAUUAAUUUAUCUUCAUGACAAUUUCAUCAACAUUAUCUUAUGGAGGAGGUGUGCAAACUGCUCGUGUGCCUGGUAUAGAAAGCUAUGGCUAUCAACAACCAUUUAUUAUGGCAACACACAAAGAUUCGUGUAUCCUUCAUACAUGUAUGGAACAUAUGGGUCAGAAUAUAUCUUAUCCACAGGUUAAUAGUCUUCCAAAGCUCUUAACAAAAGAAAGUUUAUUUAAAUUUAUAAUAAAUCUAACAAGUGAUUUACUUAUUAAUAAUAAGGCGUAUACAACCCUUAUUCAAGCCAAUGCAAUAUACAGAUUGUAUAAUACAUUGUUAGGUCAUCAAAUUGUGCAAUUUGGUGGGUCCAUUAGUUUUGUGUGUUGUCUUUCCUCCAGCUCCAAGUACCAAAUAUGAUAUCACCUCAAUACAAUGAACUUCAAAACUCAAAGAAGCAGAAAACAACUUUCAUGUCAACCAAUACCUUUCUCAAGAAGACAAAGAAAAUUAUCAACAAGAUGAAUGCAUAGUUAUGUCUAGUUUUUGGUUUAUGAUGUUUUUGCUUUUUUUUACCAUAUUUUUAUACUUAUAAUUAGUAUAAUUUUUUUCUAUUUUAAUUAGGAAUUUUAUGUAUGAAUUUUCAUAUCAAUUAUUAAUAAUAUCGAAUUCUUAACUUUUA